rnacentral:rRNA from 1 species
UACAGAGGUCCCAAGCGUUGUUCGGAUUCACUGGGCGUAAAGGGUGCGUAGGUGGUUGGGUAAGUCUGAGGUGAAAUCUCCGUGCUUAACUCGGAAACUGCCUUGGAUACUAUCCAGCUUGAGGGUUGGAGGGGGGACUGGAAUUCCUAGUGUAGAGGUGAAAUUCGUAGAUAUUAGGAAGAACACCAGUGGCGAAGGCGGCUCACUGGUCCGGUACUGACGCUGAGGUGCGAAAGCGUGGGGAGCAAACAGG